UAGAACGCAAUCGGAAUCAGGCCGAAAGGUCUGCGCCAGCGAUGGCCGCUUGCGAGGUGCUGCAUGGUUGUCGUCAGCUCGUGCCGUGAGGUGUCGGGUUAAGUCCCAUAACGAGCGCAACCCCUACUGCUAGUUGCCAGCGGGUCAUGCCGGGGACUCUAGCGGAACUGCCAGCGUAAGCUGCGAGGAAGGUGGGGAUGACGUCAAAUCAGCACGGCCCUUACGUCCAGGGCUACACACGUGUUACAAUGGCCAGUACAGAGGGCAGCCACCCCGCGAGGGGGCGCUAAUCCUAAAAGCUGGUCCCAGUUCGGAUCGGAGUCUGCAACCCGACUCCGUGAAGCUGGAUUCGCUAGUAAUCGCGCAUCAGCCACGGCGCGGUGAAUACGUUCCCGGGCCUU
rnacentral:rRNA from 1 species